rnacentral:tRNA from 1 species
ACCUGGGUGGCCCAGUCGGUUGAGUGCCUGACUUUCACUCAGGUUGUGAUCUCCAGGUU